AUCUAAUUUUCUUCUAAUUCCCUGAACCGAUUCAAUUAUGUGUUCCGAUUUAAAAUAGGUAUCAACCUUUUUGGUUCGCGGGAAUAAAAUCCUAGAUGACCAGCCCUAGUUGUCAAUAAUGUCAUCAUGAGCUUUUCCGUCAUCUCUGUAUUUAGGAAAAAUCCUAAUUUUUUACGAUAAAAAUAUUAUUAAUUGCUUUAAUGUGGUGUUGAAUUAUCUUUCAUUGGUAUCGUAACAGCGUUUGUAAGAGAGAAGAUUUAACGUGGCUUCCAGGUGUUUGUUAUUGUUGUGAUUAAUUGAGAAUUGGACUCGUCUCGAGUUUUCCUUUUGUAGAAAGAAUUUUCAGUAUUAUUCAUUAACCAUGGUAUCUGAUGCAACACAGGCUGGUUCAGGCAGUAUGCAUCGCCCUUUUACUAACUUUUUAAGCAAAGAAUUAACCAAAUAAUGGUAUAAUAUUGCACCCACAGAGGAAGUACGAAUUACCCCCAUGUGACGGUGGCUUGGUAUUUUAGUAAAAUAAAUAUAUAAUAAAAUAAAUUAAUUUAAAACAAGAUAAGUCGUUUUAUUUAUUCUUAAAAAUAACUACUUAAUAGUUAACACUUCUUUAGCAUUUACCCAGUCUCUAUAAAAACAUGGUAUAUACAUCUAUUAAUACACCUAUUCCCCGAGCAUGAUAUGGAAAUACCUAAGGGAGGCCUAUGUUUGGCAGGAAGCUGAUCUUCGGCAGAUCCAGUAGCGAAGGAUCACAAACAUCUAUAUGACGAAAAUUGCGCGGACGUAGGAGCAUUAAACUUGGUACACUUAUAGUUUAUGUGUAGGAGAAGUGCAGAACGCUAAUAUUUUUCAUAAAUAAUGCUUAUAAAGUACAUUAAUAAUCAAUAAAUAAAUAAAUCAAUAAAUAAAACAUUACACACACUACCAUGCAUAGUAGGGGAAGGUAGGGUAAUUGAGAACGGCGGGUAAUUGGGAACACGUAGAUAAGUCCCACUUCCCCUCCCCGUAUCCCGUCUCGCGGCCAUUCGAGGUAUGCUUCCCCCGCCCCUAAGUGCGCAAGCGACAGUGGGAACUGGAGGAUGCACGCAUCUUGACACGAUGAGGCGAGACGUUGAUGCAGCCAGACUGAACCAGACACCACCAGUUCAAAUAUCAGAUUCACAUGACCACGAUAAAGCUUUGGGCACAUGUGCAAUGCACUUCCAGAGAGACCAGCAAAGGUUACGUGUGUAAUAUGUGUCAUGAAAUGAAAAAAUAUUUUUUCCGUUAUAAGCAGACAGAUAAAUAAUGUUUUUAAGUUUUAAUAAAAGUUGAUUCCUUUUUUAAGAGAAAAUACUGUUUUUUGCCUUUUAAGUUAAGUGUUCCCAAUUCCCCCACCUUCCCCUAUCGUAUUUGACAAAACGUCAAAUUGACAGACAUUGCGAUGAUAUU